UCUCAUCCCAUUAUUUUAUUCCUUUUACUUUGCAUUCAAUCUUACAUUUCAAUAUGUGUAUAUAUACACAUAUAUGCAUAUACAUGUAUAUGCAUGUAUUUGAAUCUUGCAUUUUUCAUGUUAUGUUGUCACUGGAAAUUUCCCAUGUCAUUAAUUUUGAAAAAGCACUACAUUAAUGGCUCCUUAACAUCCAAGGUUAGAUAUACUCCAAUUCAUCUAUCCAUUCUCCUAUUAUAAAUCACUGACUUUUUUCCUCUUAAUUAAUGUCAUAGAUUCAAUUCCAAUGAAUUAAUUUCUAAGGAAGGUUAAUUUUACAUAAACUAUAGUGAACCAUCUUCUUUCAGAGUUCCUUAUAUUUUACCUAGCUUGUACGUUUCAUAGCAAAGAUACCCCGUUUUAUUUAAAAUAUAUUAAACUAUCCUUAUAAUAUGUUACUUACAUAUGAAAUCACUUGCUUCUUUUAAAACCAUAGGUUAUUUUCUCUCUUUCCCCAGUCUUUAUUUGGCUGUGUUUUUCUGAAUGUGCUUAGUACUAAACCAUUAUACUAAGUGAAGUCAGACAGUCAAAGACAAACCCUAUAUCAUAUCAUUUAUAUGUAGAAUCUAGAAAAGGGAUAUGAAUGAACUUAUUUGCACAACAGAUGCAGACUCACAGAGACUCACUCACUUUGCAAAACUUAUGGUUACCAAAGUGGAUAGGUAAGGAGGUGGGAGGGAUGGACUGGGGGUUUGGGGAUGGACUCAGGGUUUGGCAUGUGCACACUGAGGUACAUGGAGUGACUGGCCAAUGGGGACCUGCUAUAUAGCACAGAGAACUCUACCCAAUAUUCUGUGAUAAUCUAUACGGGGAAAGAAUCUGAAAGAGAAUGGAUAUGUGUAUACAUAUGACAAUCACUUUGUUGUACAGCAGAAAUUAUUACAACCUUGUAAAUCAACUAUACUUCAAUAAAACUUUAAAAAAUAAAGGAUAUUAAGACAUAAAAAAAUCUUUUUUCCAGGCCUGUGUAACACUCCACUAUCUAGGUUGAUAUCCUACAUCUCCCCCUCACACUUGGAGCAGCACACGUGAUGCAAUACACAUUCUUCUUUCUGGCCUUUCUCACUUGAGGAACUCAUUUAUUCUGAAGACUUCAAUAACCAAUGCCAUGUGACUUGAACUUAUUUUGUAUACACAUAUAUUAUCUCUUACUUACUAUGGGGAAAGACUCUUGAAUCAUAGAAUACACCAAAGGAUGUUUCCCAUAUUCCAUAUACUUAAUACUAUGGUAUUAGCACUACAACGACUGUUAAAAACAAUGCUCAUUGGCUCUCCACUAUAUAGGCCAAGUAUUGUGCAAAGCACUUAUUUUAUAUUCAUUUGAAUUAAACUUCAGAAAAAAUUCCAUGAGGUGGGUAUUCUUAUUCUAAUUUCACAUAUAAAUAGUAUGAAUUUUCAGGAUGCUAAGUAUUUUGCCAUGGUCUGCAUGACCCUAAAGAACAGAUAUAACCUGUCACACUAUUCAGUCUCAUCAUGAACCAUUCAUCAUUAAUGCACACAGAGAGCAUUACCAUCCGUCAAAUAGCUUCUUUGUAAGGCAGUUAUUUUUAUCUUAAUAACUAAUCCAAAAUUCAAAAUAGAGCUUUACCAUGGUCCUGAGAGAAAGCAAUUCAGGGGUUGAACCCGAAAUGUGAGAUAGUAGAUAGUUCCCUCCCUAAACCUACAUAGUUCCUUAAUCCCUUACCCGAGUGCAUCUCUUUCUAAAUUGUAAAGCUUGUUUUUGUUGUCCCAUCCUAUCCCUUUUUGCCUUUCUCAGCCAGUGAGGUCUGGAUAGUGGAUGUAGGAUUGGGUAUACAGGAUUCGUUGGUGAAUAAUAACUCAGUACAGCCACAGAUUUGUAGGCUUGUAAAACUGUGAGCUCAGCACUGUUGGUAAUAUAAAUUCAAAUGUUUUCUGUCUUGGGCCAUGUAGCUCCCCAUUCAUGUUCCUUUGUUUACUUCUUAUGGCUUUAGGAUGCCUUUCUCUUUCUUCUGCCACUUCUGUAGUUGCUUUUUUUCUAAGAUUUCUCUCCUCAACAAUAUGCUCUCACAGUUAUUCUCCUGAUUGAGGAAGAACCUCAUGGCUUUUUUCAAUUUUUAUUCUAGUCAGGUUUCCUUUCCUGUUAGAGACAAAGAAAUGGCAUAAAUUUAAUUUAAAAAGAAAAGAUGUGACCAAAAUUCUCCCAUAGGAAUAAGGAAGCCCUAAGUUAUAGUCCAAAGGAGGUGUGGACCAGUUGUUGAAACUAGGCGUUUAGUAAGGAACUGGAUUUCACUCUCAGUUCUGUCACAUGGCCAAGUGGUUUAACCUUUCAGAAGCUCAAUUCCCUCAUGUUUAAAAUGGGAAAGCUGUAAAAUUCAGCUGUAUUUUAUAGCUUAGUCUGCAAUUAAUGUCUUCUUUGUUUUGUAGUGAUGAACAAAAAAAGGAAAGAAGAAAAGAAGGGAACACAGAUAGCAAGCAGCAAGUGAAUGGAAUACUGCACAUCUACCUAGCCAGCAAGGGGCGCUCUCAGGAGCCUAUACCAGGUCAGUAACUGCUUCAGUUACUGUUAAUAAAUAUAUGCAGUUUGAUUGGUUUCUAGUUUAUUAACCAAAGGUAGUUGUUGCAUCUUAAACUAAAAAGUGUAGUACAAGUAUCAUUAACCUUGUCAAAUUGCUAAAUUUGAAAAAUGCUAGUACAAUUUUCACUUCAAAAAUCGCAUUAUUUCCUUGAUCCUUCCCCACAUUCUUUCUCUUCAUUGCCAGUUGCUGAACUGCAUAUUACCUUUUUAAUUCUGCAUCUUUGUUUCAUAGCAUACCCUCAUUUGCAUUUCUAAAAUCAGAUGUUCCUUUCAUAUAACACAGUAUCCUAAUUAAAAUAUUAAAAGAUGCUUUUUGAAUGAAGAGAAUUUACAUUGCCAUAAAAAAUGCUCAUAGUGAUGCAGGAUGUUUCCUUUUUAUAUUUCAAUGACACUUUCUCUCUAAAUUAUUUCUAGUUAUGGAGUUAACUCUCUCGGGCUUUAGGGUAGAUUAACACCGUGAAAGAGGAAUAGACAGCAGAAAGAAUCGUGGCAAAAAGAAAAUGUUGACUUCAUAGUAAAAUUCUGAAAAAAAAAUUAAUGUACUUACUUCGUAAUUAACUCCCCCCAAGGUGUCUUGUUUUCUUGAUUGAUUGUUUCAUUUGGCCUCCAUGUGCAGAGUAGAGCUAAUCACAUUUUUGGUUCACAGCUCAUUGUUCUUCUGAGUUUGUGGAAAUCAAGUCUCUUUUAUCAUUUGACUUUGCUUCCUUCCCUGAUUUCCAUUCUUAUCUCACUCACACUUGCUGAGAUGUUUGAAACUUUUCAUUUUUCUUUUAAAUAUCUAUGUGUUUAUAUGUAUUUUAGGUUAACUAAAAUGAUAUGGCAUUCUGUUUCCUACUCUCCUUACUCAAUACCAUGAUUUAGGGGCCUGAAUGAUAUUGCUAAAUGUUUCUCUAAUUUGUUGCUUUUUAGCAACAUUCCAUUCAUUGUUCUCAUCAUUACUUUGGGGAUAGACAUCUUAGUUGUCCUCAACUUCCUUUACCCAUAUGCAAUACCAUUAUAAACAUUCUAGCAGAAUCAUGGAUGAACCUGGAGUUCAAGCUCCAGGUCAUAGAAUGUUCAUACCUUUAAUUUUUCUAAAACUUUCCAUGUGGCUUUACAGAAUGGCCACACUCUAGAAGCCUUUAUUCACUCUAGAAGCCUUAUUUUCCCCCACUUUUUCAGAAGCAGGUACUGUCAUCUCCCUCUUUAACUUUUGUAUUCUAAUGGGAAUGAAUGAUAGCUCAUCAGUUUAUUUCCAAGUCCAAGCAUAGUCCAAAGGAGAUGAAAACCAAUUACCCUAAAACUAAGUUCCCUAAUCAGGUUUAUGAUUUAUCUCUCUAUCCAAAACUGUAUUCACUUUUUUGUCACCUCUGACCACAAUUCUAUGCUAACUGAACACUAAUGAAUCAGAGGCAAAUGACUUAAAUUGCUGUUGUUAAUAACAUCAUUAAUGUAUUAAAAUUAUAGCUAUGUUAUCAUACAAACUUAGGUUUCUCCAGGGUAAGGUGAGAAAGUCCCAAGUCAUUCAAAGUCACUCAAAAUCCUUAGCCAUGGACCACCUGGCCAGAGAAUUGUAAACCAGAGACAUCCUGACUCCCAACACUAUGAGUAAGAAAUGUUACCAAAAUGUCACAAAACAGUGAUUGAUGCCAUCUUCUUUGUUCUGCCCCUUUAAAAAGCCUUUAACUCAGAGACCAGGUUGGAAUGUAUCUGAGGUUUGUCUCCCACUCCCUUGCUUGGCAGUGGCAAUGAACUGUGUACUUUCCUUCCCCAUAACCCUGUGUCAGGAGAUUGGCUUUGCUGCAGGUUGGGUGGGUGCACCCAAAUUCAUUUGAUAACAGAGAUUGCACAGCUGUAAUCUGUACUCCUCUACCUACAAACCAGGUGACCUCAGGCGAGUUUUUGAAUCUCUAUGUCCUUCUGAUCUUCACUGAUAAAGGAAGAAAACACACUAGCACAGAAUUCAUAUUGGUGCUGUGAAAUUUAUAUGAGCAAAGAAAAGCAUUCAGAACCACAUCAGGUUCAUCAUAAACCCUAUUUAAAUGUCACUCUCAUUGUUAAUUUAUUUCUAAAAAUGUAAAGUCCAUGAAGGCAAGUUUCUGUUUAUUUAUCUACUGUUCUAACCAGAGUGCCUAGAAUGGUUCAUUUACAUAAUGAAAUACAUUGGUGAUGUUGGAAUUUUAUUAUAUUCUUGAAAUCCACUGAACUUAGUCAUAUUGCAUCAUUUUUAAUACAUUAAGGGAUUCAAUUUUUAAAUUUUUUCUGUUUUACCCAUGGUAUAAAUCUAGAAAAUCACUCACAAAAGACUAUGUAGAAAAAGAGAAAAACAUAAAACAAAUCCUCCAUUUCACCCUCUCAUGGUAAUCAGCCCUCCUCUGCCUGGGAACCCUGGACACAGUUCUUCCCCAAAUAUAUUUCAUAGCCUAAACCCUAAAUUUUCAGAGCUUUCUUCCUAAAUCUACAGCAUUUCUAGUUUUGGGAUAUGAGAGAGUAUUAGAAGCUUAGGCUAAUUUUUCAAUUUUUAUUAACUUAUGAAAUUUGGAGUUGACCAAAUGCUGAGAGGAAUCACCAGUUCAUUAAGUAAAAGACUUAAAAGUCCAAAAAAAAAAAAAAAAAAAAA
rnacentral:lncRNA from 9 species